GGGGAGUUCCCUAUGAUCAGUGGACAGAGGAAGAGAACAUUAGGGCCUGGUUCACAGAUGGUUCUCCACGAUAUGCAGGCACCACCCGAAAGUGGACAGCUGCAGCAGUACAGCCCCUUUCUAGGACAUCCCUGAAGCACAGCGGUGAAGGGGAAAUGAAUGGCAGAGUUCUUGCAUGGACCAAUGAUGACACUGUGAGAUGAGAUGAAGGGCGGAAUAAUCCUGUGUACCUGAGAUCCAAGAAAAAUGUUUGUUAUUAUUAAGCAUCAGCUUUGUUAAGUAAGGGAAUUGACAACACUUUCUUCUGCAGUCUAGUCACUCUUUGAUUCAUUUAUUCAACAAAAGUUGGUUGGGUCCUGACGCAGUGACUCAUGCCUGUAAUCCUAGCACUUUGGGAGGCCAAGGCAGGAGGAUUGCUUGAGCCCAGGAGUUUGAGACCAACCUGGGAAACAUACAGAGACCCCUCUCUACAAAAAGUGAAAGAAUUAGCCA
rnacentral:lncRNA from 1 species